AUUGAACGCUGGCGGCAGGCCUAACACAUGCAAGUCGAGCGAGCGGCGGACGGGUGCGAAAUGUAUGGGAAUCUGCCCGAUAGAGGGGGAUAACUACUGGAAACGGUGAAUAAUACCGCAUACAAUCAGAUGAACCCAUAUGGGAUUAGCUGGGAGGGAAGGUAACGUCUUAACUAGGCGACGAUCCCUAGCUGGUCGGAGAGGAUGAUCAGCCACACUGGGACUGAGACACGGCCCAGAAUCCUACGGGAGGCAGCAGUGGGGAAUAUUGCGCAAUGGGGGCAACCCUGACGCAGCCAUGCCGCGUGAAUUAAGAAGACCUUCGGGUUGUAAAGUUCUUUCGGUAGCGAAGCGUUAACUACAGAAGAAGCACCGGCUAACUCCGUGCCAGCAGCCGCGGUAAUAC
rnacentral:rRNA from 1 species